CAGAGGGUGCAAGCGUUGUUCGGAAUCAUUGGGCGUAAAGGGUGCGUAGGCGGCUCUCUAAGUCGGAUGUGAAAACUCUGGGCUCAACCCAGAGCCUGCAUCUGAAACUGGAGGGCUAGGGUUUUGGAGGGGAAAGCGGAAUUCCAGGUGUAGCGGUGAAAUGCGUAGAUAUCUGGAGGAACACCGGUGGCGAAGGCGGCUUUCUGGACAAAUACCGACGCUGAGGCACGAAAGCUAGGGGAGCAAACAGGAUUAGAUACCCUGGUAGUCCUAACCCUAAACUAUGGAUACUUGCUGUGGGGGGGAUUGAAGCCCCUUGUGGCGAAGCUAACGCAUUAAGUAUCCCGCCUGGGGAGUACGGUCGCAAGGCUG
rnacentral:rRNA from 1 species